rnacentral:tRNA from 1 species
GCAUCCAUAGUCUAAUGGAUAAAACGUCACCCUCCGACGGUGAAGUUAUGCGUUCGAGUCGCAUUGGGUGCACCA